GAAAAAGAAGCUUCACUACUCGUUGGAUUUUGAUUGGAAAAUUAAAAAUUGACAAACUGCCAAACUAAGAAAUAUAAGGUUACGCCAAUGUGUAUCCACCUCCUCGACGCGCAUCGCUUAUUGAGAACCGCUGUUCUAUUGCACGCGUAGAAAGAGGACGAAGGAAUAAGGAGAAUGGAAAAUUUAUGACAAACACAAUGGCACGAAGCAGGGGACCGAUUUCUGUGUGGCUGAACGCCAUACGAAUUUGAUAUUUGUCGCGCACAACGGCGUCCCACUUUAGAAUAGAGAAAUCGAGGUAGGAAAAACAACAUGAACACCGAUAAGCCUCGUGGUGCGAUUAUAUCGAAUGGCAAUCACGAAAAAUGUUUGCUAUCGCCACAAGGGAUCCCAGCUUUGAGCUUAUCGCGAAAAGGUAAAUUUCGAAGCGACUCAUCGGUAAGUUUACUCACCUCUUGAAAUAUGGUAUUAACUAACGAUCCUUUUCGAACAUCCCAGAACUAAUUUAUGACGUUCUAAAUAAUCGAUUUAGUCUAUGAGAGGUUUCAGAAAGAUAAAAAAAUUAUUCAUUUCUUUUCUAUCUCUCCGACACAACAUAUCAACGUUGUAAAUAUCUUUGGAACAAGUAUACGGAAUUUGAAAAUUUCCAAAUCCCUAAAUUUGAAGAUUUGAAAUUUCCAUGGGUGUCCGUGGGCUUCGAUGGGUUCUCGACCUCCCCUUUAAGGCUCUACCUGAGGUAUUAAUAGUAUGAAGGUGACUAUACUGAAAAGUUAUAUUGAGCUGUAAGAUCCUUUGAAUAUUCUAUAUACAUUGUAAAUAUAUAAAUAGUAAUAAAAUUUACUUGAUUAUCAAUGCAUAACUUUCUAAUAAAAAAUAUGUUUUAUGUGAAAUAUUUAAAUGUAUUGCAUCAAGCAUUUUUGAGGCGACUCAUGUGAAACAAGAAACGACCAACAGAAAUCCACGCAAACAGUUUUGAUGCAGUGUCACUGCACAACUAUGUGGCGGAGAGAUUCUAUCGUUUCAGUCAUAUCGCGGAUUCAUUGUACCAUGUGUUUGUCAGAGAAACCAUUAUGCGUACUUUUGACGAUGAGUGUUCGACGAAUUGUGACGAAACAUUUGCGAUAGAAUGAAAACGAUAAUUAAUCCUUUUUCUCUCCACUAAAUGAUAAUCAAAUUACUUUCUGGUCACAACAUAUUAUUAUAAUUUUUUCGAUCAGAACUUUUGAAAGUAAAACUGAUUCCAAACAAAGAUGCAGUAUCAAUUUAUCAGUGAUCCAAAUAAUUUGAUGAGAACAAGCUUUCGAAAUUAUCGUCGAAUCGUUAGAUUUUUAAAACGCUUUCUCAAUCAAGUCAGAUGUUCUACAUUUUUGUUUUUCGAGUACACACUGAAUUGAACACUUCAUUUUUAUCACUCGUAUGGAAUGUUUACGUGAUAAUCGACACAUCCUUCAUACCGAUGUAACAGAUCUAUAUUCUGAAUCUACAGAAUUACGAUAAGCAUAUUUGAGGUGUUCCAUAUACUAGAAAACACGGAAUAUAUAUAAUUUUAAUUUAUAGGGUAAUAUUACAUUUCGCGGUAAAUUCAAACAUGAUAAAAACCAUCCAUAAAGAUGGCUAUUGAUUUCGUCGAAUAGUCUGAUUAACUGAACAAAGGAAAAAAAUACUCAGUAGGAAAACACGUGUUUAUCUAGUCUAGAGAAGAAAUUAACCUCUUUAUAUGAAGGAUAUUUGAUCAUACGUAGUUGUGAAAAGUCGUGGACAAUAUAACAAGGUAAUUGCUGUGCAUCGCAAAUUAACUUGAAACGUGCAAUUGACAGCAGUAACUACACGCAUGACUCAGUCUAUAUUUGUUCUUAUUAAGCAUCAAUUGGUGUUGUGAUGACAGUUAUAAGAAGGAUGAUGCACAAGUCACCGAACCGGCUUACUUCUCGAAUUUACGCGUGCACGCAGAGUAUCCAUAUUAAUCGAACCUGAGUUUUAUUCUUGGAAAUCAUGCUUCGAGAAUGUGUAUAAUCCCGCUACGGAUAGAGAUACAAGAAUGCGUGUAAAUAUUUGAACGGACAAUCACAGCUAUGAGGAAACUACAAUGCCUUCGUGCUUUAAUAUUUCUUAUUGUAUUAUAGUGAUCGCUCACGCUACGCGAAAAGAGAUAUUCUCGCGAAAACGUUGGACAAUAAUCGUUACAUGAUGCAACCGAACCAUUAAACAUGUUAAUAAAUAAAUUCAUUUAGUUAAUAGUAUGAUUUUUUUGUACAUAUCAGCGGUUACGAUUUUGCACUAACUGUCUCUCGUUUAAUUAUAUUUUUUGCGGAAAUUGUUCGUACAAAAUAUUCGUAGACUAUGAAAGAUAAGACUAUUAGAUGAAAACUAUGAAAUUGUUAUGAUGAUAUAUGACUUUAUCUAAUUAUUUAAAUAUUGUUGUGGCGUUUGAAAGAACGAUAUUUAUCAAUAAAAGGUGAUAUCUCCAGCUUCCCUUUCCCUCCCGCCGGUCAUUGCGUUAGUACGUUGUUGAUGGCGUAAUGAGUUCGAGUUAAAACAAGAUGUACAAAUAGAAAUGCUUCUGUCAACACUGUAAAUUGCCACUGAAAUACUUCAUUUGAGACAAGUAUUCAUGUCAACAAAAAUAUUUGUUGCUUCAAUCACGCACGUCUUAUUGCAGCAAAUUGCAACUAGCAAAACUUAAUUGCUAAAUUGGAUGGAUACAUGUAUAGUCUUGUUUUCAGAAAAUCAAGAACUGAUUAAUGUUGAAAGAAUACUCAACAGCAAUGAGAAGAUAUUUUGUGAUAUGAUUUUGUGAAAUUUGGAUAAUAAUAUUAUGAUCUGUAAAUGAACAUUUUAAUUUAAACAACUUAGUUAAAUAUAUUUAUUUCUGCCAUAAAAGAAAAUAUGACAUAGCAAAGUAUGUCUACAUAAAGCUCUAAAUAUAUUUUAAGGUACAAUGUUUCCAAUAUAAUCACAGUUCAUAGUUUGUGAAACUUUUAAAUAUGAAGUAUUUAGUGGCUAUUAAUAAUUAGCACUACUCUUCACAGUUGCUUA